GUCCUACGGGAGGCAGCAGUGAGGAAUAUUGGUCAAUGGCCGAGAGGCUGAACCAGCCAAGUCGCGUGAGGGAAGACGGCCCUACGGGUUGUAAACCUCUUUUGUCGGGGAGCAAAGAGAGUCACGUGUGACUCAUUGAGAGUACCUGAAGAAAAAGCAUCGGCUAACUCCGUGCCAGCAGCCGCGGUAAUACGGAGGAUGCGAGCGUUAUCCGGAUUUAUUGGGUUUAAAGGGUGCGUAGGCGGGAUGCCAAGUCAGCGGUAAAAAUGCGGUGCUCAACGCCGUCGAGCCGUUGAAACUGGCGU
rnacentral:rRNA from 1 species